GAGCGACACGGGGAAGCACGGGGCGAGACGGGGCGGCAGAGGACAUGACACAACAGGGCAGGGGAUGACAUGGGAGGAUUAAGUUUAGUUAUGCACAUGGCAGAGGUCAGGUCAGGUCAUGGGGGGGGUCAGUGUGCUAGGGUACUACUGUGUUAUUUUUAGCUAUUGUGUGUGCUAUGGAUGUUAGUGUGUGUGUGUGUGUGUGUGUGUGUAACAAUAAUAAUAAUAAUUUUUUUUUUGUGUGUGUGUGUGUGUUACCAAUUUAUAGCUACAUGUAUAGGGCAAAAAUAAAGCCUGGAAAAUUGAACUCAAGUGUGAAAAUAAGGCUUGAGAGACAGACUUGAUUUAUUGAUUUACUGUUUUAAAGAUGGUUUUGUACUUGAUGUCAAUAUUCCCAAGCAUGUUUUCCUGAAUAUUUGGUUUAACUUAACUUGUCUCGGUUUAGGCACAAAAAUACCCUACUGAUUAGACUGCCACCAAUACCCUUACUAACACAUUGGGAUUAGUAGUCUCUCUAUACACUUAUCUCUUUACUUAUUAAUUGUGUUUAGAGUUAUUCUGGUACUUUGGUCAAUGUUCCCAGGCAUGUUAUAUUCCGGGUACUGUUUGGAAGGCUUGGGAUUAUAAUAAAAUAAAUAUCCUACUGAUUAUACUACCACCAGCACCCUUACAAACACACUAUCCACUUAUAUUUUUACAUAUUAAUUGUGUUUAGAGUUAUGUUCUUACUCAGGUCAAUGUUACCAGGGGUGUUAUAUUUCCUGGGUACUGCUUGGAAGGCUUGGGAUUAUAAUAAAAUAAAUAUCCUACUGAUUAUACUACCACCAGCACCCUUACAAACACACUAUCCACUUAUAUUUUUACAUAUUAAUUGUGUUUAGUGUUAUGUUCUUACUUAGGUCAAUGUUCCCAGGCGUGUUAUAUUCUGGGUACUGUUUGGAAGGCUUGGGAUUAUAAUAAAAUAAAUAUCCUACUGAUUAUACUAACACCAGCACCCUUACAAACACACUAUCCACUUAUAUCUUUACUUAUUGUGUUUAGAGUUAUUCUGGUACUUAGGUCAAUGUUCCCAGGCAUGUUAUAUUCUGGGUACUGUUUGGAAGGCUUGGGAUUAUAAUAAAAGAAAUAUCCUACUGAUUAUACUAACACCAGCACCCUUACAAACACACUAUCCACUUAUAAUUUUACUUAUUAAUUGUGUUUAGAGUUAUUCUGGUACUUAGGUCAAUGUUACCAGGCAUGUUAUAUUCUGGGUACUGUUUGGAAGGCUUGGGAUUAUAAUAAAAGAAAUAUCCUACUGAUUAUACUACCACCAGCACCCUUACAAACACACUAUCCACUUAUAAUUUUACUUAUUAAUUGUGUUUAGAGUUAUUCUGGUACUUAGGUCAAUGUUACCAGGCAUGUUAUAUUCUGGGUACUGUUUGGAAGGCUUGGAAAUAAAUAAAACACCCUAAUAAUUAGACAACCACCAAUACCCUUACAAAGAAACACAUUGGUAUUAGUCAGUCUCUCUAGCCACUGUCACAUCUGCUAAAGGGAAGGAGGGAGGGAAGAAGAACCUUUGAAAAUACAAUAAAACACAUAGGAAUAAACACAUAGGAAGAACUUUGAAAUAAUAAUAAUAAUAAUAACAGAGAUAAUUAGUCAGUCUCUCUAGCCACUGUCACAUCUGCUAAAGGGAGGAGGGAAGAGAAACCUUUGAAAAUACAAUAAAACACAUAGGAAGAACUUUAGUAUAAUGAUAAUAAUAAUAAAAGUAAUAAAAAAAAAAAAAUAAAAAAAAA